AUUGAACGCUGGCGGCAGGCCUAACACAUGCAAGUCGAACGGUAACAGGAAGCAGCUUGCUGCUUUGCUGACGAGUGGCGGACGGGUGAGUAAUGUCUGGGAAACUGCCUGAUGGAGGGGGAUAACUACUGGAAACGGUAGCUAAUACCGCAUAACGUCGCAAGACCAAAGAGGGGGACCUUCGGGCCUCUUGCCAUCGGAUGUGCCCAGAUGGGAUUAGCUAGUAGGUGGGGUAACGGCUCACCUAGGCGACGAUCCCUAGCUGGUCUGAGAGGAUGACAAGAAGAGAUGGAACAGAGACACGGGACAGACGAAGACGGGGAGCAGAAGUGGGGAAUAAUGAACCAUGGGCGCGAGGGUGAUAGAGAGAUGAAGAGGGUAUGAAGAAGGAAAUCGGGUUGUAAAGUACUUGGAGAGGGGAGGAAGGGAGUAAAGUUAAGACCGCUGCUCAAUGACGGUACACGAAGAAGAAGCACCGGAUAACUCAGUG
rnacentral:rRNA from 1 species